CUCUAUCCGUCGUUCAAAAACCAAAACACAGGGAGCGCAGCACCUCUAAACCUAGUAUCUAAAACAAGUCAUUUCUAACAGGUGUAAGUAAUCAGUGGUGAGGAUCCGACGAUCCAGGGAGGCGGGAUCAGCCAGACUUCGGGGAAGUCAAGACUCCCAAACACAUGAGGCAGCAAAUGACUGUUUAAAACCUUUUAUCCUUGACGGUUGUGUCUCUCUGACAGGGAAAGCGGCAGACCAGCGACGGGACGUGACCGGUGGGGUGCCGUUGGCAACUUGUCGCGCUGUGAGGUCGGUGACUCCGUGGAGGCAGCCGUCAGCUUGGCAUUCCCGAUCAGUGGAAGCCGGUGUGGUGAGUGGCGGGCAUUCUCCAUGUGUGCUUCCCCAGUGCGGUGGAGCCAUGGAGACCGUGUGGCCUAUUAUGUUGCAACCUAUGUUAUUUAGUUACUUUAUAUAACUUGCAUCAUCUCUCGUGUGGGCAGAGACGCCUUUUGUUAUAUUUUGUUUAAGAAUAAAUACAUUAACUUGACACAUA